rnacentral:rRNA from 1 species
CUACCAUGGCAGUCACGGGUAACGGAGAAUUAGGGUUCGAUUCCGGAGAGGGGGCCUGAGAAACGGCUACCACAUCUACGGAAGGCAGCAGGCGCGCAAAUUGCCCAAUCCCGACACGGGGAGGCAGUGACAAGAAAUAACAACUCUAGGUUUUCUUAGAAGUGUAAUGAGGAUAAUUUACAAACCUUACCAAAUGCAAUUGGAGGGCAAGUCUGGUGCCAGCAGCCGCGGUAAUUCCAGCUCCAAUAGCGUAUAUUAAAGUUGUUGCAGUUAAAAAGCUCGUAGUUGAAAAUCUGAUUGCUCAGGUCUCCAGCCUUUAGGCGGGGAUUCUGACAGUCAUCCGCUUGCAAACAUAUGUUCGAUCUUCACCGGUUGGCUAUGUGAGUAAGCACUUUACCUUGAGAAAAACAGAGUGUUCCAGGCAGGUUUGUCCGGAAUGCAUUAGCAUGGAAUAAUAGAACAUGACUGAAGUCUAUUUAUUGGUUAAAGGCUUUAGUAAUGAUUAAUAGGAACAGUCGGGGGCAUUCGUACUCAGCAGUCAGAGGUGAAAUUCUAAGAUUUGCUGAAGACGAACUAAUGCGAAAGCAUUUGCCAAGGAUGUUUUCAUUAAUCAAGAACGAAAGUUAGGGGAUC